rnacentral:rRNA from 1 species
GUAGUCUGCAACCCGACUACAUGAAGCUGGAAUCGCUAGUAAUCGCAGAUCAGAAUGCUGCGGUGAAUACGUUCCCGGGUCUUGUACACACCGCCCGUCACACCAUGGGAGUCGGAAAUGCCCGAAGCCAGUGACCCAACCUUAAGGAGGGAGCUGUCGAAGGUGGAGCCGGUAACUGGGGUGAAGUCGUAACAAGGUAAC